GUCAAAUUAAACUAAAUGUGGAGGAUGUCAAUUGUUACGAGAUGAUUGACAGGUCAGUUUACAGUGACAGGUGCGUGUAACAGGUGCGACAGAGCGCUCCUUUAAAGACGCAAUUGUGUGACAUGAAUCAUGAUAGUGUGUCCCAAAGCAACCCGUUCUCACCUAUCUGCGUAUAAAUAACACGACUUUACACUUUUAAAUUGCGUGUAAUGCGUACGCCAAAGUUCAAUUUUGCGUGCAUAUGAUCCGCCAAUCCUUCCCAUUAACUUCGGUGGAGAGCAGAUGCGUCUAAAUACCACGCGUCACCUUCAGCUGCGAUGACGUCACCAGCGAGGCUCAGUCCGCCUCUUCACCUGCACCUGAUGCGCGUCCCGUUACAUCUUCAAACAGUACAAUGUCAAAAGGAAAUAAGAACAAACUAGAAGCUGUUCUUCAGCUCGGGGAUGCAUUUGUUGAAGACAUACAGAAACGUAACACAGAGUUACAAACUCAGAAGGCUGAAGUCACAGGACAAUCUAAAGUGACCUGGUGGAAGAGGGACCGUGAUGGGCAGCGUGUGACCACCAGCAAACGGAGGAAAAAAAGUUCAUCUGCUGGCUGUUAUAAUCUUCACGUUCCGGUGCUAACAUGCAAACAUUGCAAUAAGCAAUGGGCUCCAGAAGUCAGUGACUUUGUAAGGAGUGGUUACUGGCCCGCUACCAUGCAAGCACAGACACUUUUCCACCAAGAUCUGUUCCAUUCCUUUGAAGCUAUGAAGACAACAGCUCCAGGAAUGUCAGUGAAAGCCUUCACAGCAAUGUUGGACCAGAGAACAAAGUGGUUUGGAAGAAGGAGCUUUCUGCAAUAUGUGUACUGCAACUCUGAAGAGGACCAACUUCUGGAAAAGGAGCCAUUUGUCUGUCCAGCCUGUAGUCCUGAAACGGUGGCUGUUUCAGUGGAUGGCAACAGAAAACUCUACAGGUUCCAGAAAGCAAACCAGAGUGAAGAGCCAGGGUUUUUUUGAUGGAGUGUUUUUAUCCCAAGACUCUGAGGUGUCCAGUUUUGUUGAGGAAGUCCGGGGGGCUGUCAAGAGUACGGCAGGAAGAGCAAUGUGUGGGGAAUCCCAAUGGACAGCAGCAAGAGAGACAUCAAAGCAGGCCAACAAGUUGGACGAAGAAGGUGUAGAAAUUGCUGUGUGCAG